UGGCUGGCUUGUUGUAAAUAUGGCUGC
rnacentral:piRNA from 1 species